AACGGCCGUACCAUGCUGAAUAUACCGGUUCUCGUUAGAUCACCGAAGUCAAGCAUCAUUGGGCGUGGUCAGUACUUGGGUGGGUGACCACCUGGGAACACCGCGUGCCGUU
rnacentral:rRNA from 1 species